GCCUGCCUUCGAGUAGGACUUAUGCGGUACUCGCCGCGUAGACCCUAGAACGGCAAUGAUUAAACAAAGGAGAAAUCAUUAUG
ncrna:unclassified sequences freshwater-2 RNA